rnacentral:rRNA from 1 species
UACGAAGGGUGCAAGCGUUAAUCGGAAUUACUGGGCGUAAAGGGUGCGUAGGCGGUUCGUUAAGUCUGUCGUGAAAUCCCCGGGCUCAACCUGGGAAUGGCGAUGGAUACUGGCGAGCUAGAGUGUGUCAGAGGAUGGUGGAAUUCCCGGUGUAGCGGUGAAAUGCGUAGAGAUCGGGAGGAACAUCAGUUGCGAAGGCGGCCAUCUGGGAAAACACUGACGCUGAAGCACGAAAGCGUGGGGAGCAAACAGG